GUCGGCCUCGACUCCCGGGGGCUGGAGGAGUUACCUUUGGAGCCCGAAAGGAGGAAGGAAGCAAAAUAUCAACAACAGCCGAGUUGGCUGGGGCGCUAGGUCCGGGUUCCCAGCUUGUCAGCCGCCGCUGCUGGCCCCGCGCCCACGACAGGGGCCCAGGCCCCCCAGCGCCGCCCAGGGCCCGCGCGGACGCCGGCCUCAUUAUUAUUCCCCCCGCCCGGAGCUGCGGCUUCCCGGUGUUGAAGAUCCCCGGACCAGGGGCGAGGGCUGCCUGCUCUUUGCCGUGACAACCCCUUUCCCCGAGUCGGGUUGGAGGCUGUGCAGAAGGUAUCCUGCAGACCACGAACUGAGCACUGUUCCCAGACCGUUCAUGAGCACAGUGUAAGGUGUGCCAAGACCCACCACCCAGCAAGCCCCUCCCCUCCGUAGCACUGAGGACCCCCGGAAAAGAUGGGGAGGAAAAAGAGUCAGAUCCAGGGAAUCACCGAUGAGCGGAGCCGACAGGUGACUUUCACCAAGCGGAAGUUCGGCCUGAUGAAGAAGGCGUAUGAGCUGAGCGUGCGGUGCGACUGCGAGAUCGCACUCAUCAUCUUCAACCGCGCCAACAAGCUGUCCCAGUACGCCAGCACCGACAUGGACAAGGUGCUGCUCAAGUACGCGGAGUACAACCAGCCGCACGAGAGCCGCACCAACGCGGACAUCAUCGAGACCCUGAGGAAGAAGGGCUUCAACGGCUGCGACAGCCCGGAGCCCGACGGGGAGGACUCGCUGGAACAGAGCCACCUGCUGGAGGGCAAGUACCGGCGCGCCAGCGAGGAGCUCGACGAGCUCUUCCGGCGCUGUGGGUCCGCUCUCCCGGCCCCCAACUUUGCCACGCCUGUCACGGUGCCCGUGUCCAAUCAGAGCUCACUGCAGUUCAGCAAUCCCAGCUGCUCCCUGGUCACCCCUUCCCUGGUGACGUCAUCCCUCACAGACCCGCGGCUCCUGUCCCCCCAGCAGCCAGCACUACAGAGGAACAGUGUGUCUCCUGGCCUGCCCCAGCGGCCAGCUAGUGCAGGGGCCAUGCUUGGGGUGACCUGAACAGUGCUAACAGAGCCUGCCACAGCCCUGUUGGCUACGUCACUGCCCGGGCUUCCCCUGGCCUCCUCCCUGUGGCCAAUGGCAACAGCCGAAACAAGGUCAUCCCUGCCAAGUCUCCACCCCCGCCCACCCACAGCACCCAGAUUGGAGCCCCCAGCCAAGCCCGACCUGCGAGUCAUCACUUCCCAGGCAGGAAAGGGGUUAAUGCAUCACUUGAAAAAUGCCCAGCGCCUUGCAGUCUCCCAGUCUCCACAUUCGCUCAUCACCCCAGUGGUUUCUGUGGCAACGCCGAGUAUACUCAGCCAGGGCCUCCCCUUCUCUUCCAUGCCCACUGCCUGCAACACAGAUUACCAGCUGACCAGUGCAGAGCUCUCCUCCUUACCAGCCUUCAGUUCGCCUGGGGGGCUGUGGCUAGGCAAUGUCACAGCCUGGCAGCAGCCACAAUAGCCCCAGCAGCCGCAGAAGCCACAGCAGCCACAACAGCCACAGCAGCUGCAGCAGCCACAUCCUCCACAGCAGCAGCGGCCGCAGCCACAGCCACAGCAGCCUCAGCAGCCGCAACAGCCACCUCAGCCACAGUCCCACCUGGUCCCUGUAUCGCUCAGCAACCUCAUCCCGGGCAGCCCCCUGCCCCACGUGGGUGCUGCUCUCACAAUCACCCCCCACCCCCCACAUCAGCAUCAAGUCAGAACCGGUGUCCCCAAGCCAUGACCGUGGCCCUGCGCCUCCCCCUCCAGCUGUGUUCCCAGCUGCCCGCCCUGAGCCUGGCGAUGGUCUCAGCAGCCCGGCCGGGGGAUCUUAUGAGACUGGGGACCGGGAUGACGGACGGGGGGGGGGCGGGGGGGGGGACUUCGGGCCCACACUGGGCCUGCUGCGCCCAGCCGCAGAGCCUGAGGCUGAGGGCUCAGCUGUGAAGAGGAUGCGGCUCAAUACCUGGACAUUAAAGUGAGGGUUCCCACUCCCCUCCUCCCAGCCUCCCUGAUGAAGAGUUGACAAUCUCACCACCAGCCCUUCCCUGCCCCGGGCUCCUCCCGCUCGACCCCCACCUCCUUUCUUGUGCUCCAUGUCCUGUUGAUGGUUACAUUUGUGUAUAAUUAUUAUUAUUAUAUUUUUUUAAAUUUGGAUUCUCGAUUUGGAGAGGGGGAUGCUCUCAUCCCCUCUUUCUGUCCCCCCCACCACCAUUUUCACUGGCUGGGGGGACACUUUGCACGUUGUACACAUAUGCUGCAGGAAGGGGGUGUGGGGCCCAAUAGGCCUUUGGGAAAGGACAGGUGCCGAGCCCUGCCUGUGGAGCCCUCCCACCCCACCACCCAGAUAGAGGGAAAUAACCAAA